rnacentral:rRNA from 1 species
UAGGGAAUCUUCCGCAAUGGACGCAAGUCUGACGGAGCAACGCCGCGUGAGUGAAGAAGGAUUUCGGUUCGUAAAACUCUGUUGUUAGAGAAGAACAGCGCAUAGAGUAACUGUUAUGCGUGUGACGGUAUCUAACCAGAAAGCCACGGCUAACUACGUGCCAGCAGCCGCGGUAAUACGUAGGUGGCAAGCGUUGUCCGGAUUUAUUGGGCGUAAAGCGAGCGCAGGCGGUCAAUUAAGUCUGAUGUGAAAGCCCCCGGCUCAACCGGGGAGGGUCAUUGGAAACUGGUUGACUUGAGUGCAGCAGAGGGGAGUGGAAUUCCAUGUGUAGCGGUGAAAUGCGUAGAUAUAUGGAGGAACACCAGUGGCGAAGGCGACUCUCUGGUCUGUAACUGACGCUGAGGCUCGAAAGCGUGGGUAGCAAACAGG